rnacentral:rRNA from 1 species
UACGUAGGAGGCGAGCGUUGUCCGGAGUUACUGGGCGUAAAGCGCACGUAGGCGGCUUUGUAAGUUAGAGGUGAAAGCCCGGGGCUCAACUCCGGAACUGCCUUUAAGACUGCAUCGCUUGAAUCCAGGAGAGGUGAGUGGAAUUCCGAGUGUAGAGGUGAAAUUCGUAGAUAUUCGGAAGAACACCAGUGGCGAAGGCGGCUCACUGGACUGGUAUUGACGCUGAGGUGCGAAAGCGUGGGGAGCAAACAGG